AUGCGCGAGGGAAGAACGCGACUGGGACAGGUCCUUAGCCCCUGGGAGAACGGCUCCGUAGACGCAUCCUUCGGGGGACAGGAUGGGACGGGAGGCUGUCUCCAAUCCAAGGUGGAGCCUGGCAAAGCUGCCCCUGGCUUCCCACAGGGCUGUUCAGGCAUCGGUGCUUCUGCUCUCGUCCGGCCAGCCUACAGUGGUGACCAGGAGAGGACACCCGGGAUCAUGUCCACCCACUGCCUGCAGAUCUGGGGUUUUAGAGGCCGACAGACUGCAGGCCUGGAAAGUCCUGGAGUGAGGAAGGGAGCACAACUCAUCUAACCAAACAGCGUCCCAGGCCAAAGGGUGUGUAUUUUGUUCCAGCAACGAGAAAACUAACUAUGAUAAUGUCCAACAUGCAAUAAAGUUACCAAAUACUGUAAGGAAAUAGUUCUAAGGGACCGAAAGCUAAGAAAACAGGCAAAAUCACUCACCAAGGUCAUGACUGCUAUCUUAAAAGUAUUAAAAAAUAAAGCAUUUUCCCAGAAAACUAAAAAAGUAAGAUUUUAAUAGGUAGGUAGUAGGGUAGACAGAGCACCAAAGAAGACUGGUCAAGUGGGGGGAAAGUAGCAGAAAAUAGCCAGAUUAAAGCAUUAAAAACAAACAAAUAAACAGUUUUGGUGAAAAUAUAGAAGAGGAUGAAAAGCAUUCAGAAUACAGAAAAAAAAGUCCAAGCCAGACAUGUAAUCCCAGCGCUCCGCAGCCUGAGGCAAGCAGCUCACACAAAGUCAAGGCCAGUCCGGGCUACAUACUAAGUUCAAGAUCAGCCUGAACUACACAGCAAAAUCUUGUCAAAAAUAAAACAAAACAAAACACCCAAAACCCCAAAAUCAAACUCAGCAAGGAUCUAACUUCCAUGUAAGUGGAGUCACUGAACGAAAAGAGAGAAAGAAGCAGAAGCAACAUCCUCAGUGGUGCUGGCCAGGAGCUUUCCAAAACUGUCAAAAGACAUCGAGCUACAAAUUUAAGCAGUUCUACAAAUUGGAAGCAGAAAAGUCUAUACUGAAAUACACUGAGAUUAAAAGCUAAAGUGAGAGAAUAAAUCUUAAGUGCAGUCAAAGGAAAAAAGUUACAUUACCUUCAAAUGAUAACACAGCUACUUCAAGAGAAAAGAUAAAACAACAUGGACCUGUAUCAUUAAAGCAUUCAAGUCAGUUUGCCACCUAGAAUUCUAGCAGUAAAUAUGUCUUUCAAAAACACAUGUGAGAUAAAGAUUUUUUAAAAGAAGAUCCACUGCUAGAACAUCAGUCAAAAGAAGUUCUUUGGCAAAAGGAAAAUAACCCAGAUGGAAGAACAGCUAUAAAAGAAAGAAUAAAUGCGGCAGAUGAGAUACAUUUACCAACAGCAAAGAAGAUACGAAAGGGCAGAUGUAGGCGGAGAGUUAAAACGGGAUCGGAACUGUCUGGGAAGCAAGGGAAAGAUGAAGGGGAUGGGGAGAAAAAAGAACGGAACAGAAAAGAGAAGACGGUUAAGAUGCAACACAUACUCUGCGACCAAGAAGUUCUGGUCUUCUGUGAGGGACUCCACAUAUAUGUGCCACAAAACAUGAUCAGUAUGUUUGUAGCAGCAUCGGUUCAUGCUAGGCAAACUCUAGACAGUCCAAUGUUUAACAAUGAAACACAUAAAUUGUGAUACUUUCUUAUAACAAAAUAAUAGCAGUGAAAAUGAAUGAGCUACAUCUAUAUAUAUUAUCAUAAAUAAAUCUAAAAAAAAAAUCACAAAAGGUCAUACUGAGUAGGACUUGUGUAAGUUAAAAAUGUGCAAAACUAGAAAUGUAUUGUUCAGUGAAACAUAAACAUGGCAAAAUUCUGUACGGAAAGGAAGACCCGGUUAGCACAGUAUUAGGGCAGUAAUCACCCCAGGAAUGUGGUGCAGGAAGGGAUGUGAGCACAUGGGCUCCGAAGCACUGGUGGAGAGGAAGGGACGUACAAAAAGUGAGAUGUGCCAGGCAUCAGCUUCCCGGGACGAAUGUACUCACCGCACUGCAAACGUGGGCUACUCCACCAAAAUAACAGCCGAAAACACCAGUCCAGACAGUCUACCGUCAGGGGGAGGACUAACUAGGUCACCGCGUGCAUUCCUUCUUCUUUAUACUGCAUGUAAACCAUAGAACAGCCUACGACUGAGGAAAUACUUACAAUGUCUGUUUUAUAAGCAUGCCACUAAAAACAGAAUUUAUUUUAAAAACAAGCUUCGCACAAAUUUUUCCUCUAUUUUCAACUACGAAACAUCAUAGAAUGUUUCUGAAUAUUGCCAAGUAGGCAGAAAGAAAAAAGAUGAAAGAAACACAUAACCUAAGGGGAAAAUAACAGCAAUUUGCUACUUAUUAAAAAAUAAAGAAAUGGCUAUUAGUGAUAGUCUCAGGGGAACAUACAGAAAGCUUCUCGCUGCCAUGAAGGUGACGACACCAAACUGGGUAGAAGUUCUUUAUCCAACGCCUUCCUUGUGCAUUAAAAUCAAGGCAAGUGCUGGAAAUAAAUCGAUCCGCAAAAGACAGAGACAGUGACUAAAAUGCACUAGGGCGAUGUACAGCUCACCUACUCCAAUGAUCAAGACACCCGAGACUGGAAACACUCUGCUCAAGCACAAACACAAACGUGCGCACUUCAGCUUCCCCUCGUGGUGUGCCACCGUGCUGGCCGGCAAGCCGAGCAGGCGCCACGGCAGCUCCUUCACACUCAGCACAGACCAAGAUCUGCCAAGGCGGAAAUAUGCGCCAGAAUUAAACAAUGGUGAGAAUAAGAACGCAAAACAUCGCCAUCAUUUUUACGUAUUGACUAGAUACUGGAAUAAUAUUCUGAGUAUACUGUAUGGC
ensembl:lincRNA